rnacentral:rRNA from 1 species
CCUACGGGAGGCUGCAGUGGGGAAUAUUGCACAAUGGGCGCAAGCCUGAUGCAGCCAUGCCGCGUGUGUGAAGAAGGCCUUCGGGUUGUAAAGCACUUUCAGCGGGGAGGAAGGCGUUAAGGUUAAUAACCUUGGCGAUUGACGUUACCCGCAGAAGAAGCACCGGCUAACUCCGUGCCAGCAGCCGCGGUAAUACGGAGGGUGCAAGCGUUAAUCGGAAUUACUGGGCGUAAAGCGCACGCAGGCGGUCAGUCAAGUCGGAUGUGAAAUCCCCGGGCUCAACCUGGGAACUGCAUUCGAAGCUGGCAGGCUAGAGUCUUGUAGAGGGGGGUAGAAUUCCAGGUGUAGCGGUGAAAUGCGUAGAGAUCUGGAGGAAUACCGGUGGCGAAGGCGGCCCCCUGGACAAAGACUGACGCUCAGGUGCGAAAGCGUGGGGAGCAAACAGGAUUAGAUACCCCGGUAGUC